AGGUUGAUCUUCUUCUCUUUUUCUUCAAAAAAAUUGAGACCGUGGCUUUCUUUUCCCGAUCUAGGGAUUUUGGCUUAGAUUCAAGUUUUUCUAAGUUGAUAUUUGGGUUUAGAAGAGGUUAAGGAAGGGUUUUGAGUAAAUAGGCUUUGAUUUUUCUUUUUUUUUUUUUUGGGCGGCGGAGCCNNGAGCCGCCGCCGGAAUCGCUCCGGCGCGGUGGACUACCGCCGGCAGUGAUGAGAGAAGACGAGAGAGACUGAAGGUCGAGAGAGAGAAAAUCUGUGAAAAAAUGAAUUUUUU
rnacentral:lncRNA from 1 species